CGAAGCGUGCGAUUGGAUUGCACGUCUAAGCAGUAAGGCUGAGUAUUAGGCAAAUCCGGUACUCGUUAAGGCUGAGCUGUGAUGGGGAGAAGACAUUGUGUCUUCGAGUCGUUGAUUUCACACUGCCGAGAAAAGCCUCUAGAUAGAAAAUAGGUGCCCGUACCGCAAACCGACACAGGUAGUCAAGAUGAGAAUUCUAAGGUGAGCGAGCGAACUCUCGUUAAGGAACUCGGCAAAAUGACCCCGUAACUUCGGGAGAAGGGGUGCUCUUUAGGGUUAACGCCCAGAAGAGCCGCAGUGAAUAGGCCCAAGCGACUGUUUAUCAAAAACACAGGUCUCUGCUAAACCGUAAGGUGAUGUAUAGGGGCUGACGCCUGCCCGGUGCUGGAAGGUUAAGAGGAGUGGUUAGCUUCUGCGAAGCUACGAAUCGAAGCCCCAGUAAACGGCGGCCGUAACUAUAACGGUCCUAAGGUAGCGAAAUUCCUUGUCGGGUAAGUUCCGACCCGCACGAAAGGCGUAACGAUUUGGGCACUGUCUCAACGAGAGACUCGGUGAAAUCAUAGUACCUGUGAAGAUGCAGGUUACCCGCGACAGGACGGAAAGACCCCGUGGAGCUUUACUGUAGCCUGAUAUUGAAAUUCGGCACAGCUUGUACAGGAUAGGUAGGAGCCUUUGAAACGUGAGCGCUAGCUUACGUGGAGGCGCUGGUGGGAUACUACCCUAGCUGUGUUGGCUUUCUAACCCGCACCACUUAUC
rnacentral:rRNA from 1 species